ACUACGGGCGGCAGCAGUGAGGAAUAUUGGUCAAUGGACGAGAGUCUGAACCAGCCAAGUAGCGUGAAGGAUGACGGCCCUAUGGGUUGUAAACUGCUUUUAUAAAGGAAUAAAACGAGGCACGUGUGCCUUUUUGCAUGUACCUUAUGAAUAAGGAUCGGCUAACUCCGUGCCAGCAGCCGCGGUAAUACGGAGGAUCCGAGCGUUAUCCGGAUUUAUUGGGUUUAAAGGGCGCGUAGCUGGGUUGUUAAGUCAGUUGUGACAGUUUGCGGCUCAACCGUAAAAUUGCAAUUGAUACUGGCAGUCUUGAGUACAGUUGAGGUAGGCGGAAUUCCUGGUGUAGCGGUGAAAUGCUUAGAUAUCACGCAGAACCCCGAUUGCGAAGGCAGCUUACUAAACUGUGCCUGACAUUGAUGCUCGAAAGUGUGGGUAUCAAACAGGAUUAGAUACCCCUGUAGUC
rnacentral:rRNA from 1 species